rnacentral:rRNA from 1 species
AACGAACGCUGGCGGCAUACCUAACACAUGCAAGUCGAACGAGACCUUCGGGUCUAGUGGCGCACGGGUGCGUAACGCGUGGGAACCUGCCCUUAGGUUCGGAAUAACUCCCCGAAAGGGGUGCUAAUACCGGAUAAUGUCUUCGGACCAAAGAUUUAUCGCCUUUGGAUGGGCCCGCGUUGGAUUAGCUAGUUGGUAGGGUAAAAGCCUACCAAGGCGACGAUCCAUAGCUGGUCUGAGAGGAUGAUCAGCCACGCUGGGACUGAGACACGGCCCAGACUCCUACGGGAGGCAGCAGUGGGGAAUAUUGGACAAUGGGCGAAAGCCUGAUCCAGCAAUGCCGCGUGAGUGAUGAAGGCCUUAGGGUUGUAAAGCUCUUUUACCCGGGAUGAUAAUGACAGUACCGGGAGAAUAAGCUCCGGCUAACUCCGUG